rnacentral:rRNA from 1 species
AGAGUUUGAUCCUGGCUCAGAACGAACGCUGGCGGCGUGCUUAACACAUGCAAGUCGAGUGCGCGUGCCGUAGCAAUACGGUAUGGCGCACGGCGCACGGGUGCGUAACACGUGGGCAAUCUGCCCUUCGAUGGGGAAUAACUCCGGGAAACCGAAGCUAAUUCCGCAUAGCAUUCCCUGGACUCCGGUUUGGGGAUUCAAAGCAGCAAUGCGUCGGAGGAGGAGCCCGCGCCCGAUUAGCUAGUUGGUAGGGUAACGGCCUACCAAGGCUUUGAUCGGUAGCUGGUCUGAGAGGAUGGCCAGCCACACUGGAACUGAGACACGGUCCAGACUCCUACGGGAGGCAGCAGUGGGGAAUCUUGCGCAAUGGGCGAAAGCCUGACGCAGCGACGCCGCGUGGGGGAUGAAGCUUCUCGGAGUGUAAACCCCUUUCGACUGGGACGAAUGCCUCGCAAGAGGAGUGACGGUACCAGUAGAAGAAGCCCCGGCUAACUACGUGCCAGCAGCCGCGGUAAGACGUAGGGGGCCAGCGUUGUUCGGAAUUACUGGGUGUAAAGGGUUCGUAGGCGGUGUGGCAAGUCGGGAGUGAAAUUUCUGGGCUUAACCCAGAGGCUGCUUCCGAAACUGCUGUGCUCGAGUGUGGGAGAGGCGCGUGGAAUUGCAGGUGUAGCGGUGAAAUGCGUAGAUAUCUGCAGGAACACCCGUGGCGAAAGCGGCGCGCUGGACCACUACUGACGCUGAGGAACGAAAGCUAGGGGAGCAAACAGGAUUAGAUACCCUGGUAGUCCUAGCCCUAAACGAUCAGGACUUGGGGUGCCACCCGUUCGGGUGUCGUCCCGGAGCUAACGCGUUAAGUCCUGCACCUGGGGAGUACGGUCGCAGACUGAAACUCAAAGGAAUUGACGGGGGCCCGCACAGCGGUGGAACAUGUGGUUCAAUUCGACG